UCUGACCCAAGGUCAUGUUCUCAUUCCAUCUUGUUUAACAGAGAAUGGCUUCUCUUCUUUUCUCUCCCUUUCAUGAUUUUACUAUUUUCGAAGAAUCAAGGUAGGCUUUUUCAGUAACCUGUCCCUCAAUCUGUAUUUGUUUUGGGCUUAGAUUCACGCUGUGAUUUUUGGUAGAACUACUAUCAAAGCGAUAUUUUGUCUCACUCAGCACAUCCCAUCAGGAGGCACAUGAUGCCAAUUUAUUCCAUGAUUGGUGACGUUAGCAUUGAUUGCUUGGUAACUGUGGGGUUUUCUAGAUUUAUCCGCUCUAAAGGAGCCACCAUUACCUGCAUUUUAUACAAGUACAAAAAAGGAACCAGCUGCAUUGUAUUGGUGACCGUGAACUAAAGAGAUGCUUGUGGAAUUUUCCUAAAAUGAAGAACGGCUCCUGGUGAUUGUGAUUUUCUGCCUCCCUGACCCAGCGCUGAGGAGGGAGACGGCUCAUCCUUCAUGCCCCUUCUUCUGAGGCUCUCACCUCAGGGCGGUGGCCAUCCUUCCUCUGGACAGAGUCCCAGGAUCCGAAGACGGUCAGAGCUCGCUUUGUUCAUCUUCCCAAUCCUUCAGGCCAGAGCGCAAUUCCUUGUAGAGGCCUGAAAUCUGAACAUGGAAGGAAAUAAAAGGGAGAGAAGAACCCACGUGCAUUAACCAUUUCCUCUCCGUCAGGCAUCAUACCAAAUACUUCCCAUGUCAGAGGCCAGGGCUAGAAGGUGACUAGGUGCACGAACUGAAAAAGGUCCUGUCCAGGUCCCUGUACUCUAAGGUCACCCCUCAACAAUGAUCACCCAGUUCACCUCGCUGCCUGCAGUAUGGGCUCUCAGCAAGGGAGAGUCAGCCUGUGCCUCUCUCUGGUGGUGCCACCGGGAACAUUACACACUAAUCAGUGGUACUAGGCUGCUGCCAUUCCCAGCAGCGCCUGGCACAAGCCUGGGAUUACCGAGGAGGUGAGAGAGUAAGGGCAGUGACUUGUAUUUUCCUGGCACAUUUUUAUGACAGGUUUUGUCUUCGGUCUUUUAUGUACAAGAUUUCAUUUAGCCCUCAUCAGAGCUCCACGAGAAAGACGUUAUUUCCAUGAGGAAACUGAAGCGCGGAGUGUUUAUCUAGAACCUGUCAAUGGCUUCUGGGAGAGGUAGGCACAGUCCCGAAGAAGCCUGUUUCCAAAUUCCAUGUUCACUGUUGCUUGAGCCCUGGAGAGUUCUGUUGGUUUGGGCAAGGUCAGAAAGGCAACUCUUUGAUCCUUUUCAUCAAGAGUCGCAGAAAUUAAAUUCAGAAAAUCAGACUUGUCAGAAUUGCUGAGGUCAGAAAAUACCAAAGAGGCAUCCUGGGUUUCAUGCUCACACAGGUAAGUGAACAAUGAGGAGGAUGGAUGGUCAGCCCCUUACUCUUCAGUGUUCUAGAGAGUGACCACGUGCAGGGGGCCCCAACACCUGGCUCUGCCAGUCACUAGCUGUGUGACCACAUGUAUGGUCUUUGUGUUUCUCAGCCUCGAACUGUCUUGGGUAUAAAGAACUUGCCCCUCACAGGUUUUGUAUGAGGAUAACAGGAGACACUGCCUUAUCACAUUGAGUCCUGUACGUGUGGUGUGCUGGGAGGUCCUGGCAGUAGUGCUGCUUGUUGACUAACUAGUACUUUUAACCAUAGUCAUUUCACUUGGGAGCACUUUGCUUUGCAGAGUCAUCAUAUUUAUUUGGAAUUAUUUAGCAUUGGAGAUGAGAAGGAAAGAAAAGGGACAGGAGACUAAGGACAGGGAAGCCGGUGGGUGAUGCUUGAGAAAGUGAGUGGGACCCCAUUACCAUGUGUGGGACCACCUUAGUCCAGGGGGCUGCUGGCAGCCAAGAUUGCUCUUCCAGGAGACAGUAGGAUCCCAGGAGUGAUGUGGUGAGCAUCCAGACCACCUGGGACAGAAGCAAUGGGUAAAGGACCUUAUCUGCAAGGUCGUUUUCUCAGGAAAAGUGUUGGAAGCCCACCUCUUGGCAGGGUUUAGGCCUGGCUGGGGGUGACCUGACUGAGGGACUCAUCUUCCCUUCUGCUUUAUCAAGAUUCUAAACCACCUCCUUUCAGGCCAGCCAGCCCUCAACUCCAGCCUUUGUAUAAGGACAAGCUUCCUGGUUGUGUUUGUUUAUCAUGCAAAUGGUUGCAAAUUUUCUGCUUGGCAUCCCUCCUCCUCCUCCCUCUCUUUCAUUCCCCUCUCCCAUCUCUUUUUGCUCUGAUGGUUUUAAGAAUCAUUAUUUCUCCUGUGCUUUCUCCUGGGGAAAAAAAAAAAGAGAGAGAGAGAGAGAGAAGUCUAAUCCUCGACUCAGGCAAUGGCGUCUAAUUAUCUUAUUAAAACUAUCUGGAGUCCUUCAGCCUUUUAUGCCCAUGGCCCUAAGACAAUCCUCCUACUUUCUGAUGUCAAUUUUCGGUGACUUUUAAUACCUGCUGUUGCGUAUGAGGUGAAGGGAACUUCACUUUAAAACAUAUAUUUAUCAAAAUACGAUUCUCCAAGCAAACAAUCUCAAUUUAAGAAGCUGACAAGGAGAAGGAGCAAUUUGGAGUGUUUACUCUUACAACAGAGGCCCACCUGAAAUGUCAUCAGUCUAGAAAACAGGAACACUGGAAGAAGCCAAGCUUAUUUUUAAAUAUAAAAUGAUAAUUUUUUAAAAACCGCCUUUGUUGUUUAGUCUGAAGGCAGCUCACCUGAUCAUUUGUCAAAGCCAUGAUUUUUACUGCCAACAAAAUGAGAGAAACAGGCAGAAAAGAGAGGAGAGAAAACAUUUAUUUUGAAGGGGAAAAUAAAGAUCUCUUUCUAACAUGAUAACCAAUGUCCUAUCUCUCUGAUGGCAGACAACACACCAAAAAUCUGAGUUGUUGUAAGCCAGUACCUUUGUAUAUGGAUUAUCUAAGUAGAUGUGUGUUAAAGAUGGGAAACUCACAUCAUUAGAAGGCUUUAUGGCCCACAGAAUAGGCCACCCUGAGAAGAAGCCCAGUUGGCUAUAGGAUGUCACUAGCCCCUUAGUCUGCCCCAGAAGACCAUCAUCAUGACCCUUUAUGUAUUUGUACAGCUUUGUCUUUUGUCACUUCAACCCUCCCUCUCAAACCUUGUGUUCCCCUCAUGUCAAAUCAUGUCUUUAGCUUCCCCAAGCCUUCUUGUUUCUAUACUUUCAGGUUGGGUGUAACUGUCUUCUCCUGUCUCACCUCCUACCUCACCCCUCUACCCCUCUCCCUGCUAGCAAAUUCAGCACAAAUACCAUCUCCCCUGGGAAUCUUAUCUGAUCCCACAGGAGCUGCGUCCUUCCUCCCUGCCAUUUCUGCCCCACUCUGUUGAGCCUCACUCAUCGUCAAUCAAUCAUUGUCAUGUCAGUCAUGCCACAAGAGGCAUAUCUUUGUGUAUCUUCAAUUAGUCACCAUUUAGGCUAUGGAC